UUGAAGAUGCAUAAUCUACAUCGACAAUUGGCAGGUGCUGGUUCUAAUCUUCAUAUCUGCAUCUAAAAAGGCAGAUCAGCAAAGCGCAUUCACCAGAUAGACAAUUCUCGAUAAUAGUUACAGAAACAUCCUUCAGAAUUCCCUGCAGGUAAAAAGAAAGGGUUCAACCUACAAUGCUAAGCAAAUAAGAUGUCGGCAUAUAUUAUGACUAAUCAGCCAAUCAGAUGGCAAUUGGUAAAAGCCAGCAGCAAAAUGAAGGACCCAUUUAUUCAUUGGGCGCAUCUAAAUAGUCUUGAUAGCCAACAGCAAAAGAGAAGGUGAUUGUUCAAGACGAGUACAAAUUGCACUACAGAAACUUUUAAGGGAAAUGCAGAUUGUUGCAGAGAAUCGUCCUCCAACUCAAGAGACAGCAACCGAAAAUGUGAAAAUUAAUCAGGACAGUAUUCAAUCUAAUGAGCAACUGCAACUGCAAAAUGCAAAUGAAUUGCUGAUUACUUAUUUAAAGGAGCACAGAAAGAUUUUACAUAAUUUGAGCAAAUCUUGUACCAAAUUCUCAGCUGAGACAAAUUUCGGCAGGAGAGUAACUGAUCCAACUUGUAGGCUUUUAAAUUCAUUUCAAUUUAAGUUUCACGCAAUCAAGGAGACAAACUUCGUGAUACAGAAUAAUAUUUCAUCUAAAAGAAACAAGCUAACGAGCUCAUGGAACAUGAUCCCAGAUGCAAGCAUAUAUUCAUGAUUUUGCAUCAUAUAAUAACUUAAAAACUGAAUAAUAAUAAUAAUAAUAGUGAGAACACAUAAAAUUCAUAUGGGACAUGCACAAAGUUGAGCAUAUAGAUUAGCAGACUUGGCACGUCCAACUUUAGUCACUAGGCAAAGAGAGUUAGCUAGUGGCGACAGAUAAUUGUACAUCAGGCAUUCAAUAUAUACAAAUAUAGAGACAAAGGAGGAGGACCAUAUGCUAUAUACAAAAGCAACACCUUGUCAUGCUUGAUUAAGCAACAAAAUGGAACUGUAGUAUUGGGUACAUUUUGUAAUUAAUAAUAGAUAUGACUGCACAAGACAACACGUAACUUGUUUAAGAUUAGGACAAGAUACACUGAUAGGCAAUAAUAAAUUGUACCCCAACUUUUUCACAAUCACACUAACAAGUUCAACUUAUUACAAUCUCAACUCUUUACUGCUGGAUGAAAAAGAUUCUACUGAAUCUGGAGAACUGUAAUGCCACAUGAAAUAUAAAUGUGGUGUAAGAAAAAGAAAGCAACUGUUAUCUUCCAUGUGCUUAUGUAGCAACAAUAUUUUUUUUAUGAUACCAUACUAAGUUAAAUAUGACAAUAGCCAAUGCAGGAUCAUGCUGGCAAACAUAGAAAGAGAAACAGAGACAGCUUUACACAAAAUUUACUAAUAGAGUUGUUCUAAGGGAGGUUGAAUUGGCUACAAAUAAAUGGAGAGUUGAACAUCUGUUUGGAUUUUGUACCAAAAGUCAGAUGCCAAAAAUAGUUUCUAAGGAGACAUCCUAGCGGACAAGGCACAGGAUGUGCAGUCAAGAGUUCGAGCAUGGCUGAAGGUGUCCAGGAUGCAUGUGAUGAUGAACAAAAGAACAUCAUACAACAACAAUGUAUUUUGGAGAAAAUUGUACAUAUAUGGCAUAACUCAUGUCAUGAACAAGCUUAAUAACAAGAAAUAGUUCCUACUAAAAUGACAGACUUCCUUAUCUCACUCAAAAUAAGAAUAACUUUAUCACAAACUGAGAAAAGAAUUAGAAUUCGCAUUAGCUCAUAUUGUGCUUAUAUAUGAUAGUGAAGUUCCAAGAUGAUUAGUUUUUCUGACUAGCCAGCAAGCAAAGACAGACAAGCUUUUCAACACCAUUGGAAGCAUAUAGCAUUUCCAUUACAAUAGUACCACAUUACCAACAUGUAAAAUUCAACAAACCUUGAUAUUUGCAAAAAAUUGCCUUGUAAAUUUAUCUGUGAGGCUUACUAAACAAGAUUUAAUUUUUCAGGUAGCAUACAUGCUGAUUACACUUAGAAAUAAGAUGGAGAAUUGGCAUGCAAACAGAAUUAUAGAACUAUCAGCAUAAAGCAUUCAACAUCCAACUCUAGCAUGCCAAGAAACUAAAAGAUAACUUAAGAAUCACAGCUAGCUAAGCAAGAUGAAAAUUUUCUCUCCGAUGUUAAAUUAGAUAACCUAAAAAUCCUUCUUGACCCCUAUAAACAUCAAAUUCAUCGAAUUUAUUAGCAACUACAUAUUCAUUCCGAUAAACAAUCACCUAAGAAACAAGCAAGAAUCGGGGAAAUCAUGCAACUAACUCUCAAAUGGCGAAACGAUCGUUUGGAACCAGUUUCAAACAGACAAGAGGGUUUCGUAAAACAAAAAAGACCUGAAUUUUCUUCUGUUUUUCUCCUUCCACUUUGUGUUUCCUUUCUACAAACUUUGUGCGUACGAGGAUCAUAGAUCGGCGUGGAGAAGCACAAGUGCUAGUAACCAAGGUGGAAUCCAAGAUAAGGGUUCAGAAUUCGGCUCAAGAUACGGUGGAAGGUAAUCCUACUAACCCUUGAUCUGAAGGGGUAUGAUAGAAAUUUUGUGCGGACUACAUCUGGAUUCAAGGAUCCAAUUCCGACCAUGGAUUGAUCCAUACCCUACUCGGCAUAAGCAAAAGAAAGAUAAGAGGAUUACGGCAGAGGAACUUGCCUUAGGACAAAGGGGUCCGAGGACGUGACGAGGAGGAGAAGCCGUGGUGGCGUCGAUGAGGGGGCGAUCACAGACGAUGCCCCGGCGACAGAGGGACGCGACAAGCGGCGGAAGUGGAACGGGCUCCACGGAUAUCGUUGAGGUGGGCCGGUCGACCCUGAUAAACACACAC
rnacentral:lncRNA from 1 species